rnacentral:rRNA from 1 species
AUGGUGAGCAUUGACUUAUCUUUCAACCAAUUAAUUGGGAGAAUACCAGAAGAAAUAGCUGCUCUUGGUGCGUUGAUAAACUUGAAUCUAUCGUGGAACCAAUUGAGUGGGAAAAUCCCAAAUAAGAUUGGGGCCUUGCAGGCAUUGGAAUCACUUGACCUCUCAAGGAACAUGCUUUCUGGCGGGAUCCCUUCGAGCCUGUCAGAUAUAACCUAUUUGAGCUACUUGGACCUGUCUGAUAACAAUCUAACAGGGAGAAUACCAUCAGGACGUCAGCUUGACACCCUCUACAAUGAGCAACCUUCCAUGUACAGUGGCAACAAUGGUCUUUGUGGAUCUCCUCUUCCAAACAGUUGCCCUGGAAGGAAUGUAACAAUGCAAGACGAUCAGAAAAUGAAUGGACAUUCCUUUGAGCCAAUGACCUUUUAUUUUGGACUCGCUCUGGGAUUUAUUCUGGGUCUCUGGGCGGUGUUCUGCGCCUUGUUGUGUAAGAAAGCAUGGAGGAUUGCUUAUUUCCACAUGGUUGACCACACAUAUGAUCAGAUAUAUGUGUUUGCCGUUAUCACAUGGAAAAGCUGGGCCAGACAGGGAACUACAAAUUGA